rnacentral:rRNA from 1 species
AGCGAACGCUGGCGGCGUGCUUAACACAUGCAAGUCGAGCGAAGGUGUUUCAAGGGUAACCUUGAGAUACACUUAGCGGCGGACGGGUGAGUAAUACGUGGAUAACUUACCUCUAGGCCUGGGAUAACCCCGGGAACUGGGGCUAAUACCUGAUAAGACCACAUUGUCUACGGACAAAGGGGUAAAAGGUGGCUGUGCAAACAGCUAUCGCCAAAAGAUAGGUUCACGUCCCAUCAGGCAGUGGCGAGGUAAUGGCUCACCAAACCAAAGACGGGUAGCCGGCCUUGGCGGGUGAACGGCCACACGGGGACUGAGACACGGCCCCGACUCCUACGGGAGGCAGCAGUGGGGAAUAUUGGGCAAUGGGCGCAAGCCUGACCCAGCGACGCCGCGUUGGGGAAGAAGG